rnacentral:rRNA from 1 species
UGCCUGUUCUGAACAGCCAGCCGGUUUCUCUUGAUGAUCUUCACCGGUUGUCUUGGGUGACCGGCAAGUUUACUUUGAAAAAAUUAGAGUGCUCAAAGCAGGCGCGACGCCUGAAUAAUGGUGCAUGGAAUAAUGGAAUAGGACCUCGGUUCUAUUUUGUUGGUUUUCGGAACACGAGGUAAUGAUUAAGAGGGACAGACGGGGGCAUUCGUAUUGCGACGCUAGAGGUGAAAUUCUUGGACCGUCGCAAGACGAACUACUGCGAAAGCAUUUGCCAAGAAUGUUUCCAUUAAUCAAGAACGAAAGUUAGAGGUUCGAAGGCGAUCAGAUACCGCCCUAGUUCUAACCAUAAACGAUGCCAGCCAGCGAUCCGGCUGUGUUCCUCAAAUGACACGCCGGGCAGCUUCCGGGAAACCAAAGCUUUUGGGUUCCGGGGGAAGUAUGGUUGCAAAGCUGAAACUUAAAGGAAUUGACGGAAGGGCACCACCAGGAAUGGAGCCUGCGGCUUAAUUUGACUCAACACGGGAAAACUUACCCGGCCCGGACACAGGAAGGAUUGACAGAUUAAGAGCUCUUUCUUGAUUCUGUGGGUGGUGGUGCAUGGCCGUUCUUAGUUGGUGGAGCGAUUUGUCUGGUUAAUUCCGAUAACGAACGAGACUCUAGCCUACUAAAUAGACGUUCCGAUCAUCUCCGUCGGACGUUCUUCUUAGAGGGACAAGCGGCGUUUAGCCGCACGAGACAGAGCAAUAACAGGUCUGUGAUGCCCUUAGAUGUCCGGGGCCGCACGCGCGCUACAUUGAAGGAAUCAGCGUGUGCUUUCCCGGUCCGACAGGACUGGGUAACCCGUUGAACCUCCUUCGUGCUGGGGAUAGGGGCUUGUAAUUGUUCCCCUUGAACGAGGAAUUCCCAGUAAGCACGAGUCAUAAGCUCGUGUUGAUUACGUCCCUGCCCUUUGUACACACCGCCCGUCGCUACUACCGAUUGAAUGAUUUAGUGAGGUCUUCGGACUGGCGCUCGGAGCGGCCUUCGGGUCCCG